AUACUUACCUGGCAGGGGAGAUGCCAUGAUCAUGAAGGUGGUUUUCCCAGGUUGAGGCUCAUCCAUUGCACUCCAGGUGUGCUGACCCCUGCGAUUUCCCCAAAUGUGGGAAAUUUGACUCCAUAAUUUGUGAAGAAGUGAAAUUGCUUUAGGGUCACUG